UACUACCCCUCUGUGAUCUGUUCUAAGGCUGACUUUCUCUUUCUCCUCAGCUCGAUCUUUCACUGGAUCUCCUGACCCUGUGACAUCGUCUGUGGCAAGGAGCCCGUUGGAGGAUGAAAUAGGAUCUGGAUAAAUGUCCUAGCUGCUGACAUCAGUGAUGAAAUAAUAAUGCCCCUGCAGCCGCCCUUCUGUGGCAUAAUGACCCAAGCACUGCUAAGCCUCGCAGUAUCUGUUUCCUCCUUUUUAAAGCACCGCCUAUGGAAAUCAAGUGACUGAGAGAAUUUUAGCUCCUCUUAGGAAGCGUAAAUAAGCCCUACAGAACGGAAGAGGAACUCUGAAACAGGAACUUAAACAUUCAUGCCAGAAGGAAGCAGAUGGAGACGGAGGAGAAGGCUUCCUGGAAAGGGCUGCCUGGAGGCUCACCUGUGCUGCAAGAGGUGGAAGGGCUGCAUCCUCUCUGGAGCCAAAGCGUUUCUCUCCCUUGGAUGGAGCUGCCAGAGGCUUCAUGGCAUUCCUUGGACACCAGAAAUUGGGCAUCAGGCAAAGAAGGAAAAAGAUGGCUGUCUAAGGGUGUUUUGACCUCUGUCAAUAUAGACAUGGCUGAAGAGUGCUUGCUGCUGAAAAGGCCAGGAAGAAGAAGGCAAGUCAGGGUUAAGUUCAUAAGUUGGUAAAGUUUAAAGAUCCCCUAUGUGGGGUUUAUGGAGCCAUGUUUUUCAGUUUUAAAAGAUUUUUAUUAAGUUUUCACAAAAUACAAAUGAAAAGCCAUAAACAAAAACCAGGAUCCUGCUCGCAGUUACCCUGAAAUAAAUCUGGAGUAACUGCCUCGGAGUCA
rnacentral:lncRNA from 1 species